AGAUUGAACGCUGGCGGCAGGCCUAACACAUGCAAGUCGAGCGGUAGAGAGGUGCUUGCACCUCUUGAGAGCGGCGGACGGGUGAGUAAUGCCUAGGAAUCUGCCUAGUGGUGGGGGAUAACGUUCGGAAACGGACGCUAAUACCGCAUACGUCCUACGGGAGAAAGCGGGGGACCUUCGGGCCUCGCGCCAUUAGAUGAGCCUAGGUCGGAUUAGCUAGUUGGUGAGGUAAUGGCUCACCAAAGGCGACGAUCCGUAACUGGUCUGAGAGGAUGAUCAGUCACACUGGAACUGAGACACGGUCCAGACUCCUACGGGAGGCAGCAGUGGGGAAUAUUGGACAAUGGGCGAAAGCCUGAUCCAGCCAUGCCGCGUGUGUGAAGAAGGUCUUCGGAUUGUAAAGCACUUUAAGUUGGAGAAGGUUGUAACUUAAGUACGUUGCAAACGUUUGAACGUUACCGAACAGAAAUAAGCAACCGGCUAAACUUCGUGCCAGCAGCCG
rnacentral:rRNA from 1 species